rnacentral:rRNA from 1 species
CCUACGGGUGGCAGCAGUGAGGAAUAUUGGUCAAUGGGCGGGAGCCUGAACCAGCCAAGCCGCGUGAGGGAAGAAGGCGCCAGGCGUCGUAAACUUCUUUUGUCGGGGCACAAAGGACGCCACGUGUGGCGUUGUGAGUGUACCCGAAGACACAGCAUCGGCUAACUACGUGCCAGCAGCCGCGGUAAUACGGAGGAUGCGGGCGUUAUCCGGAUUUGUGGGGGUGAAAGGGUGCGUAGGCGGCGCGGAGAGUCAGCGGUAAAAGCCAGGGGCUCAACCCCGGCGAGGCGUUGAAACUGUCUGUCUAGAGAGGGCGAGAAGUACGCGGAAUGCGGGGUGUAGCGGUGAAAUGCAUAGAUA